UACAGAGGAGCCAAGCGUUGUCCGGAUUGACUGGGCGUAAAGCGCACGCAGGCGGAUGCGCGCGUGGGGUGUGAAAUCUGGCCGCUUAACGGCCAGGCGCCAUCCCAUACGGCGCGUCUGGAGUGAUGCAGAGGUCGGUGGAAUUGCCGGUGUAGUGGUGAAAUGCGUAGAGAUCCGGAGGAACACCAGAGGCGAAGGCGGCCUGCUGGGCUGCACCUGACGCUGAGCCGCGAAAGCCAGGGGAGCGAACGGG
rnacentral:rRNA from 1 species